AGAGUUUGAUCCUGGCUCAGAUUGAACGCUGGCGACGUGCUUAACACAUGCAAGUCGUGCGAGAAAGUAGACUUCGGUCUAUGAGUAGAGCGGCGCACGGGUGAGUAACGCGUGGAUGAUCUACCCUUGAGUUCGGGAUAACGGUGCGAAAGCGCCGCUAAUACCGUAUAACAAUCCAUUUCAUCGUGGGUUCAAAGCAGGCCUCUUCGUGAAAGCUUGCGCUUGGGGAUGAGUCCGCGUCCCAUUAGCUUGUUGGCGGGGUAACGGCCCACCAAGGCUACGAUGGGUAGCUGGUCUGAGAGGAUGAUCAGCCACACUGGAACUGAAACACGGUCCAGACUCCUACGGGAGGCAGCAGUGGGGAAUAUUGCGCAAUGGGGGAAACCCUGACGCAGCGACGUCGUGUGAGGGAAGAAGGCCUUCGGGU
rnacentral:rRNA from 1 species